rnacentral:misc_RNA from 1 species
GAAAUGCGAUAAGUCAUGUGAAUUGCAGAAUUCAGUGAAUCAUCGAAUCUUUGAACGCACAUUGCGCCCGCCAGAAUUCUGGCGGGCAUGCCUUUUCGAGCGUCAUUUCAACCCUCGAGCUCCCCUUUCGGGGGGAGCCCGGCGUUGGGGACCCGGCGCUAACAACGCCGGCCCCGAAAUGGAGUGGCGGCCCGUCCGCGGCGACCUCUGCGUAGUAACAACCACUCGCACCGGGACCCGGGCGCGGCCACGCCGUAAAACACCCCACCUUCCGAAUGUUGACCUCGAAUCAGGUAGGAAUACCCGCUGAACUUAAGC